GGAAAUUCAGAGUAAUGUCCAAAGAUACUACUGAAAGGCGAUGUCCCGAUCUACUGCAAUAUCAGUCAUCCCCAUCAAGUUAUGGGUGCAUGUCUUUGUUGAAAAGAAAGCGUUCCGGAGAUCUAUUUGCAGGCAGCGGACCACGUGUUGUUGGAAAAAGAACUCCUCGUAUCCCGGUUUCGAAUAUGUCCGAGAGGGUUA
rnacentral:misc_RNA from 1 species